rnacentral:rRNA from 1 species
AUUGAACGCUGGCGGCAGGCCUAACACAUGCAAGUCGAACGAGUGGCGGACGGGUGUGUAAUGUCUGGGAAACUGCCCGAUGGAGGGGGAUAACUACUGGAAACGGUAGCUAAUACCGCAUAACCUCGGAUGUGCCCAUAUGGGUUUAGCUAGUAGGUGGGGUAACGGCUCACCUAGGCGACGAUCCCUCGCUGGUCUGAGAGGAUGACCAGCCACACUGGAACUGAGACACGGUCCAGACUCCUACGGGAGGCAGCAGUGGGGAAUAUUGCACAAUGGGCGCAAGCCUGAUGCAGCCAUGCCGCGUGUAUGAAGAAGGCCUUCGGGUUGUAAAGUACUUUCAGCGAGGAGGCGUUACUCGCAGAAGAAGCACCGGCUAACUCCGUGCCAGCAGCCGCGGUAAUAC